rnacentral:lncRNA from 1 species
AGGCGAGGGUGCUAAUUGUUAGGAUUUGGUUAGACUUGUAGUUGAAUCCUAAUUGGAUUAGGAUUAAUAUUUAAAUCUGUUGGAGAUAAAUUAAGUUAAAUAUUAAUUAGAAUAUAAAUCUAAUUGGAUUAGGACUAGGGUAGCUUUCGAUGUAAGCUAUAAAUAUAGCAUAUGUGCUAUUAUUGUGGUGGUGGUGGUACGUAUUAGCCACACCCAUAUGGCAUGGCCAAGGUGGUCAUGAUUUUGGAAGCACCUAGCUAAUGCAUGGGUGCAAGAGGACGUGAGCGGCUUUCAUAGCCGUUGGUCAUUGAUAUACCUUGUGCACAGAUGCACAGGAUAUGAGAUAUGUCUUCUGAGACUAUAGAAGAGAGAAGGAUAGGAGAGAUUCAGAAGAGGGCUCGGGGUUGUAGCUACUCUGUUACAAAAGUGGAGUAAGCUUUUGCUGAGGAGACGGGUUUAUGGUAAAAAUUCGAUUCGACACUUUCAUUGUGGAAUCCCAACAAUCAGUACCAGAUCAACAGUAGUCAGUAUCGAAGCGGGUUGCGGAUUCUCAAAAUUCGGUAUCGGUAGAGAUUCAAAAAGAGGGCUCGGGGUUGUAGCUACUCUGUUACAGAAGAUGAGUCAACUUUUGCUGAGGAGACGGGUUUAUGGUAAAAACCCAAUUCGACGCUUCCAUUGCGGAAUCCCAACAAUUGGUACCGGAUCAACAGCAGUCGGUAUCGAAGCGGGCUGCGGAUUCUCAAAAUUCGGUACCGGGGGGAGUACC